CUUGCUUUCAUCCGCAUCUCCGCUGCGAUUCUGGAUUCGAUAGAAACCCUAAUUUAGCUUUAGUCAAAUUAGAGCCGGUUAAUCCAAAAAAAAAAACUCACUUGUUCGGUUCGUCGGCGUAGUCGUCUGCAGUAGAACAGAGCGGUGAUGGUAAAGAUUUUUUCUCUUUUUUCGAUUACGAUUGAUGGUGUCGCCUAGAAGUUUUCGUCGACGAUGGGAUUAGGCGAAUGAAAUCGGGAGAAAAAGGUAGGAUAAUUAUUGAGGAAAUUGGGUAAUUUAGUGUGCAGGAGAUAAUUAUCGUGGCGAGACUGAUGGGAUUUCAUUUGUUUUUCCCAAAUUAAUUCAUUAACGCCGUUAGUGGGGUGUAGGGGUAGUAUGGGUAGAAAUUUACAAAAGGAUUUAAAACAAAUG
rnacentral:lncRNA from 1 species